AUUGAGCGCUGGCGGCAUGCCUUACACAUGCAAGUCGAACGGCAGCAUGAUCCAGCUUGCUAGAUUGAUGGCGAGUGGCGAACGGGUGAGUAAUACAUCGGAACGUGCCCUGUAGUGGGGGAUAACUAGUCGAAAGAUUAGCUAAUACCGCAUACGACCUGAGGGUGAAGGUGGGGGACCGCAAGGCCUCAUGCUAUAGGAGCGGCCGAUGUUUGAUUAGCUAGUUGGGGAGGUAAAGGCUCACCAAGGCGACGAUCAGUAGCUGGUCUGAGAGGACGAUCAGCCACACUGGGACUGAGACACGGCCCAGACUCCUACGGGAGGCAGCAGUGGGGAAUUUUGGACAAUGGGGGCAACCCUGAUCCAGCAAUGCCGCGUGUGUGAAGAAGGCCUUCGGGUUGUAAAGCACUUUUGUCCGGAAAGAAAUCGCACUUACUAAUAUUAGGUGUGGAUGACGGUACCGGAAGAAUAAGGACCGGCUAACUACGUGCCAGCCGCCGCCGUAAUAC
rnacentral:rRNA from 1 species